CGGGCUUCAAAGUUAUUGUGAAACUGCCUAUUCUAGAGGUGGCGUGAAUCAGAUGUGGAUACUUAAAAAUUCAAAAGAUCUUUUAGAGUACAUACAAUCUAACUCUCUUUCAUCUUGUAACAGUAUUAAAACAUUUGACUUUUCUACUCUGUACACAAGUAUUCCACAUUCCAAACUAAAAGACAAAUUGAAAGAGUUGGUAUUACUUUGCUUCAUAAAAAAAG
rnacentral:lncRNA from 1 species